GUGAGGAAUAUUGGUCAAUGGGCGAGAGCCUGAACCAGCCAAGUCGCGUGAAGGAAGAAGGAUCUAUGGUUCGUAAACUUCUUUUGCAGGGGAAUAAAGUGCAGGACGUGUCCUGUUUUGUAUGUACCCUGAGAAUAAGGAUCGGCUAACUCCGUGCCAGCAGCCGCGGUAAUACGGAGGAUCCGAGCGUUAUCCGGAUUUAUUGGGUUUAAAGGGUGCGUAGGUGGUUUGAUAAGUCAGCGGUGAAAGUUUGCAGCUUAACUGUAAAAAUGCUGUUGAAACUGUCGGACUUGAGUGUAAAUGAGGUAGGCGGAAUGCGUGGUGUAGCGGUGAAAUGCAUAGAUAUCACGCAGAACUCCGAUUGCGAAGGCAGCUUACUAAGCUACAACUGACACUGAAGCACGAAAGCGUGGGGAUCAAACAGGAUUAGAAACCCGGGUAGUCC
rnacentral:rRNA from 1 species